ACGCGAGGAACCUUACCAGGUCUUGACAUCCCUUGACAACCCAAGAGAUUGGGCGUUCCCCUUCGGGGGACAAGGUGACAGGUGGUGCAUGGUUGUCGUCAGCUCGUGUCGUGAGAUGUUGGGUUAAGUCCCGCAACGAGCGCAACCCUUGACCUUAGUUGCCAGCAUUGAGUUGGGCACUCUAAGGUGACUGCCGAUGACAAAUCGGAGGAAGGUGGGGAUGACGUCAAAUCAUCAUGCCCCUUAUGAC
rnacentral:rRNA from 1 species